rnacentral:rRNA from 1 species
GUGGGGAAUUUUGGACAAUGGGCGCAAGCCUGAUCCAGCAAUGCCGCGCGCAGGAAGAAGGCCUUCGGGUUGUAAACUGCUUUUGUACGGAACGAAACGGUCCGGGUUAAUACCCUGGGCUAAUGACGGUACCGUAAGAAUAAGCACCGGCUAACUACGUGCCAGCAGCCGCGGUAAUACGUAGGGUGCAAGCGUUAAUCGGAAUUACUGGGCGUAAAGAGUGCGCAGGCGGUUUUGUAAGACAGGCGUGAAAUCCCCGGGCUCAACCUGGGAAUUGCGCUUGUGACUGCAAGGCUGGAGUGCGGCAGAGGGGGAUGGAAUUCCGCGUGUAGCAGUGAAAUGCGUAGAUAUGCGGAGGAACACCGAUGGCGAAGGCAAUCCCCUGGGCCUGCACUGACGCUCAUGCACGAAAGCGUGGGGAGCAAACAGGAUUAGAUACCCGUGUAGUCC